rnacentral:tRNA from 1 species
UGGGGCGUGGCCAAGUGGUUAAGGCAGCGGGUUUUGAUCCCGCGAUCGCAGGUUCGACUCCUGCCGCCCCAGCCA